rnacentral:rRNA from 1 species
AUUGAACGCUGGCGGCAUGCCUUACACAUGCAAGUCGAACGGCAGCACGGACUUCGGUCUGGUGGCGAGUGGCGAACGGGUGAGUAAUGCAUCGGAACGUACCCGGUAGUGGGGGAUAACUACCCGAAAGGGUGGCUAAUACCGCAUAUACUGUGCGCAGGGAAGCAGGGGACCUUCGGGCCUUGUGCUACCGGAGCGGCCGAUGUCAGAUUAGGUAGUUGGUGGGGUAACGGCCUACCAAGCCUGCGAUCUGUAGCGGGUCUGAGAGGAUGAUCCGCCACACUGGGACUGAGACACGGCCCAGACUCCUACGGGAGGCAGCAGUGGGGAAUUUUGGACAAUGGGCGCAAGCCUGAUCCAGCCAUGCCGCGUGAGUGAAGAAGGCCUUCGGGUUGUAAAGCUCUUUCGGACGGAAAGAAAUCGCGCAGGCUAAUACCCUGCGCGGAUGACGGUACCGUCAUAAGAAGCACCGGCUAACUACGUGCCAGCCGCCGCGGUAAUAC